AAACACCAGGAAGGAAAAUGAAGAUGGUCACAGCCGAAGCUAGGUACUAAGGAGGGAAGAGAAUUUAGCCCCGAAAGAACAUUGAUAAGAAAAGCAGGGUAGUACAUUGCUGGACAUCAAUGCAUGCCUGGAUGGAGACUUGAGGCACUUCCACUGGCAGACAGAGUAGAGGAGCACAGAACUUCAGGGAUCGCCUGUGGAUAAGAAGACAAAGCAAGAACAUCACAAAGGGUCAUUUAAGCAGGUACUAUACAAAAGUGGAUUUUAAGUGAACCAUGUGAACACUUAAGUGGAUGAGAAAAAUGUUCUUGAACUCGGAGCAGUACAAGGCAAAGAUACAGUUUAAAAUACAAAUGAGAACAGUCUAAACAGAAAACACACAUGCACACACACUUCUGCUUGAAUUACUAUUGUUGCAUUUGUUUUACAUAAAUUAUGAGAGAGAAGGUAGUUAUGGCACUAUAGUCUUCAAGUCUGUUAGCAACUGUACACAGGUUUAUAGCUUUGCUGCUCAGGUGUGUUAACUAAUUUACUUACA
rnacentral:lncRNA from 1 species